rnacentral:rRNA from 1 species
UACGUAGGGUGCAAGCGUUAAUCGGAAUUACUGGGCGUAAAGCGUGCGCAGGCGGUGAUGUAAGACAGGUGUGAAAUCCCCGGGCUUAACCUGGGAACUGCAUUUGUGACUGCAUCGCUGGAGUGCGGCAGAGGGGGAUGGAAUUCCGCGUGUAGCAGUGAAAUGCGUAGAUAUGCGGAGGAACACCGAUGGCGAAGGCAGUCCCCUGGGCCUGCACUGACGCUCAGGCACGAAAGCGUGGGGAGCAAACAGG